rnacentral:rRNA from 1 species
CAAUAGCGUAUAUUGAAGUUGUUGCAGUUAAAAAGCUCGUAGUUGGAUUUCGGGGCAGCCUGGCUGGUCCGCCGCAAGGCGAGUACUGGUCAGCCGCCCUUCCUCUCGAAAGCCCCGACUGCUCUUCGUUGCAGUGGUCGGGUAGUUCGGGACGUUUACUUUGAAAAAAUUAGAGUGUUCAAGGCAGGCCUACGCCUGAAUACAUUAGCAUGGAAUAAUGGAAGAGGACCUCGGUCCUAUUUUGUUGGUUUCCAGGGCCGAAGUAAUGAUUAAGAGGGACAGUUGGGGGCAUUCGUAUUUAAUUGUCAGAGGUGAAAUUCUCGGAUUUAUGAAAGACGAACGACUGCGAAAGCAUUUGCCAAGGAUGUUUUCAUUAA